GUAAUACAGAGGCUUCGACAGCACACGUGCUAAAAUUGGAACGAUACAGACAUUAGCAUGGCCCUGAGCAAUGAUGACACACAAAUUCAUGAAGCGUUCCGUAUUGAG
rnacentral:snRNA from 1 species